rnacentral:tRNA from 1 species
CAGAAAAUAGUUUAAAAAGAAAAUUCUCGUUUUGGGGGCGAGGGAUAGAUAUUAAUUCUUUUUCUGA